rnacentral:rRNA from 1 species
GACGGAAGGUGCAAGCGUUAAUCGGAAUUACUGGGCGUAAAGCGUGCGCAGGCGGUGAUGUAAGACAGAUGUGAAAUCCCCGGGCUCAACCUGGGAACUGCAUUUGUGACUGCAUCGCUGGAGUACGGCAGAGGGGGAUGGAAUUCCGCGUGUAGCAGUGAAAUGCGUAGAUAUGCGGAGGAACACCGAUGGCGAAGGCAAUCCCCUGGGCCUGUACUGACGCUCAUGCACGAAAGCGUGGGGAGCAAACAGG